rnacentral:misc_RNA from 1 species
CUGAAGUCCACUAGGGGGAGUGCUGGCCCUUUCGGGGCACGUGCACCCUCCUAACCCUUCAUUCCACACACACCCUGUGCACCUUUCGAGGCGAGGACUCCCGUGCCCGGAGCAGGACUCUAGUCCCGAGGACUCGCCUACUCUUUUUCGCAAACUCUUAUUUAUGACCCGGAACGUAGCCGCGGCUCGGCCGCGAAACUCAUUACA